rnacentral:snRNA from 1 species
GAAUGACAGCAGAGAAGAUUAGCAUGGCCCCUGCACAAGGAUGACAUGUAAAUUUGUGAAGCAUUCCAUAUUUUU